AUUCCUCAGCAACAUUUCACAGGGACCAGAUUUUUGCUUUUAACUACAAUUUAGGAUUAGUGGAGCAGAUGGAGUUCUCUUGAAGAAUAAGAGGACUCUCAUUAGAAAGUUUCUCAUUGUCUGCUGCACACGACAAUCCUGAAAAAUCUUGUGCUUAAGACAGGACUGCGCACACACAAGAAAGUAUGAGAACUGAUCGGAUCGACGUGCUUAGCCAGAUACUGCAAUUCUGCAGGCAAAAUCUGGGGGUUUUCUCAGUACCCAGCUCUCCACUACUCCCAGCUGUGGAUGCACAAUAAACCGUGUGAACUCUAAAACUACCUCUUAGGCUAGUUCCUUCUCUGUUGCCCUUAAUCAUACAACAUCAGUGUGGACACAGUGACGUGGCAUCCCUGCAGUGCCCACCAAAGGGACUCCUGCCUGGGUGCAGAGGACUGCGCUUCGGGGCUCGCCAGGCCUUUUAUGGACGACAGGACCAGGGAGGUAGGCAUCCCUCUCCCCAUAGAAAGGCAGAUGGACAUCACUGGUUCAGCGCAGCUGACUGAGAUCACGGACAGUGCUCCAGCUUCUAUGGCCAGUUGGCCUUCUGAGGAUGGUGGCAAUGAAAGAGGUCUUUGCAGGUGUCUUUCAGCCCAAUGUCAGCACUGGAGACCUAGCCUGUACCCACACUAGCACUGCCCCUCGUUGUCACUGCCCUCCCAAAGUAAAGGAGGCAUAACUUCACAGAAAGGUUGAAGUUGGAAGGCAUCUUCCGCAAAGUCAGUAGAGAGAGAGACCAGCCUCCAUAGGCAGAUCCUGUCCCACAGACUUUUCAUUAACACAAGUGGUUAAUUAAAACAAGCUGUGUUUCGUUGCCCUGCCAAGAACCCAAACAGCCAUCCACCAGUGUUCCGUCAGUCCCAGAAUAACCACUGGAUCUCAUGUCUGAUAUGUAGUGGGUGCUAGGAGUGCAUUUUCUGCUAUUUAAACUAUUGUAUAUUGAUCAGCAUGAUCUUGCCAUGCUCGUACGACUGGGCCCAAGGACCAUGAGUCACCCUUUAAAUACACUGUCAUAGUGUCAUAAUAGGGUCGGAAGAACAUAACCCAUUCCUCUGCUCCAAAAUAGGAUCAACAAUACGUAAAACACACUUAACAUGUACUUUGCUAGCCUGUUCUCAAAAAUAUCCAGUGGUGGAAGUUGCCUUAGCCCGUGUCCUGGUGUACCAGUAACUGACCACCUUCUUUUCCCAUCUGCUCAGUGAUUAUUCUGGGAGUCGGGGCACAGCUUGUCCUUUCACUUUCACACUGCCUUUGCAGCCAUAUAUAAAAGGACUCCAGAUUCUUCUAACAGGCAUUGCUCUGACCCUCCCUCAUUAUCGGUUUUUCUCAGUUGGGAAUAAACCUUUGCCAGUGGUAGCAUUUCAGUCAGCAGCUGUGGGAUUCUCAUGUAGGUGACCAACUGGGCAGCCCCACUCCCUGGCACCAGGAAUACAAACUCUCUGCUCUCCUUACCUCUGGCUCAAGGGUUUUGGACUUUUUUUUUUCUUCUUUUUGAAUUACAUUUUGCAUUCAGGAAAACAAGGUGUGAUUUCAGAGAGGUUCAGAUUGCAAAGCUGGGUACAUCUCAGUUAUCUCCAAAUUCCAAUCCAUAGACAUUUUUGCACUUGCCCGGUGCUUAUUGCAAGGGCAAAGUGGAAUAGUGUCUAGGCUUCAUUGCAAUAUAAACAUCAAAUUCUAUUAUCAGCAGUCGCAGCAUUGUUUUACAUUCUAAAAUAUAGACUACAGCCGCAAUAAUAACUGUAGGAGUAUAGAAUGUAUAAGCAAUAAAUAUAGCUGUAACUGAGAAAACAGCUAUUAUAUCCAUCUUAGCGGAAUUCAAAUCAGUCUCCUACCAACUUUGUCCAUUGUUUUCUAUGACCCUGUACCUGAUCUUCUGGUAAUGGCUCCAUUCAUCAUAAUGAGUCCAAAUGUCCGGGAAAUAUCUUCUUGUCCAGAUGGAGAACAUUUGUUAAGUAGCAGGUAUAUGAAAUACAUAUAUUUGUAUAUUUAUGUGCAUGCUGAAAGGUAAAAUAUUCAUAACCCACUGAAGAAAGCUUAGGCCUUUCUUAAAACAGGGUAGCUUUAAUGAAAAUAACUAUGAUGUGAACUUUGCUUCCAGCUUCCUUUGGUAGAUUAAAGGAAGAGCAUAGAAAUAAAGAUAUUAACAUGUUAUUAAUGUUUAUUGUUGAAAUACGUGUAUAUGAGAUGUGCUCCUUCAUACAUUAUGUAAUGUCUAAAUUACACAAAUGUGGGGGAGUUUAAUAAGUCGUCCACAUGGUUUCAUCUUUUAAUGUAAUUUUGCUACAUUCUAAAUGAAGCAGGGAAAAGUCACUACUUUUAGCAAUUUUAAAAAUUGUUUUACAUGUGAAAGAAGCUGAAUAGUAACACAGUGAAAAUAUUGUAGGAAGCAUUGCAUUGAAAUCAUUGAUCAUUUUUUUCUUAAUAAAAGCAAGGUGCAUGGAGAACUGAAGAAAAACCAUAAUGAAAAAUGAUACCAGUGUCCAAGAGAGGAGAAGGAAAAAAAGUUAUUCCAAGUACUGCAUUUAUUGAGCCGUAGUGGUGAGUGCUGGAUUGAUGACAGAAGUUUAGUCCAGCUCUGGGCAAGAGUUGAAGGAGAUAUCUGGAACAUUUCAGGAUAGCACUGAAGAAACAAAAAGCUGUUUUGAAGCUUGUGUUGCACGGAU